GUGUCGUCUCGAGAUAAUAUUAAUCUCGAGUUUUUGUAUUUGGUUUCUUUGUGUUGGGUACCUACUUGAUGGNAUCGGNAGACUCUAAAUGUCCAUUUUCGCCUUUCGUUGUCCCUCUUUGGGAUGAUGAACGGUGAACCAUGAAGUGAUCUCCGUGUCCCACUCCGCUCACAUUCAUUUGUGCUUGUGGAUUGGUCCAUGGGGAGUUUGCUUGAACUGUUGGAUGCGGUGCAUUGUACACGGGCAUGAGGACUCGCGUUCUCUCUCUGCCCGAACAAAAGCUUUCAUCGCUUAGUUGCGAACGAUUGCGAUCCCCGUUUCGAGCCAUAUGGCAAGUGCGGUGAUUGCUUCGUUGAGGAAUGCUACCUGGUUGAUCCUG
rnacentral:misc_RNA from 1 species